GAGUUUGAUCCUGGCUCAUGACGAACGCUGGCGGCGUGCUUAACACAUGCAAGUCGAACGGUAAGGCCCCUUCGGGGGUACACGAGUGGCGAACGGGUGAGUAACACGUGAGUAACCUGCCCCUAACUCUGGGAUAACUCCUGGAAACAGGUGCUAAUACCGGAUACCAACUUCCUAGGCAUCUAUGAAGUUUGAAAGCUCCGGCGGUUAGGGAUGGACUCGCGGCCUAUCAGCUUGUUGGUGAGGUAACGGCUCACCAAGGCUCCGACGGGUAGCCGGCCUGAGAGGGCGACCGGCCACAUUGGGACUGAGACACGGCCCAAACUCCUACGGGAGGCAGCAGUGGGGAAUAUUGCACAAUGGACGCAAGUCUGAUGCAGCAACGCCGCGUGCGGGAUGACGGCCUUCGGGUUGUAAACCGCUUUCAGCAGGGACGAAGCGAAAGUGACGGUACCUGCAGAAGAAGCACCGGCUAACUACGUGCCAGCAGCCGCGGUGAUACGUAGGGUGCGAGCGUUGUCCGGAUUUAUUGGGCGUAAAGAGCUUGUAGGCGGUUUGUCGCGUCGGGAGUGAAAACUCAGUGCUCAACACUGAGCCUGCUUCCGAUACGGGCAGACUUGAGGAAGGUAGGGGAGAUUGGAAUUCCUGGUGAAGCGGUGGAAUGCGUAGAUAUCAGGAGGAACACCAGUGGCGAAGGGCGGAUCUCUGGACCUUUCCUGAGGGUGAGAAGCGAAAGCCGGGGGAGCAAACAGGGUUAGAUACGCUGGUAGUCCACGCCGUAAAGCGGUGGGUACUAGGUGUGGGGUUCAUUCCACGAACUCCGUGCCGCAGCUAACGCAUUAAGUACCCCGCCUGGGGAGUACGGCCGCAAGGGUAAAACUCAAAGGAAUUGACGGGGCCCCGCACAAGCGGCGGAGCAUGCGGAUUAAUUCGAUGCAACGCGAAGAACCUUACCUGGGUUUGACAUAUGCCGGAAACAUCUAGAGAUAGGUGCCCCUUUAUGGUCGGUAUACAGGUGGUGCAUGGCUGUCGUCAGCUCGUGUCGUGAGAUGUUGGGUUAAGUCCCGCAACGAGCGCAACCCUCGUCCUAUGUUGCCAGCGGAUAAUGCCGGGGACUCAUAGGAGACCGCCGGGGUCAACUCGGAGGAAGGUGGGGAUGACGUCAAGUCAUCAUGCCCCUUAUGUCCAGGGCUUCACGCAUGCUACAAUGGCCGGUACAAUGAGCUGCGAACCUGCAAGGGUAAGCGAAUCUCAAAAAGCCGGUCUCAGUACGGAUUGGGGUCUGCAACUCGACCCCAUGAAGUCGGAGUCGCUAGUAAUCGCAGAUCAGCAACGCUGCGGGAAUACGUUCCGCGGGGCUUGUACACACCGCCCGUCA
rnacentral:rRNA from 1 species